GAUGAACGCUGGCGGCGUGCCUAAUACAUGCGAGUCGAGCGAACAGACGAGGAGCUUGCUCCUUCGACGUUAGCGGCGGACGGGUGAGUAACACGUAGGUAACCUACCUAUAAGACUGGGAUAACUUCGGGAAACCGGAGCUAAUACCGGAUAAUAUUUCGAACCGCAUGGUUCGAUAGUGAAAGAUGGCUUUGCUGUCACUUAUAGAUGGACCUGCGCCGUAUUAGCUAGUUGGUAAGGUAACGGCUUACCAAGGCAACGAUACGUAGCCGACCUGUGAGGGUGAUCGGCCACACUGGAACUGAGACACGGUCCAGACUCCUACGGGAGGCAGCAGUAGGGAAUCUUCCGCAAUGGGCGAAAGCCUGACGGAGCAACGCCGCGUGAGUGAUGAAGGUCUUCGGAUCGUAAAGCUCUGUUAUUAGGGAAGAACAAACGUGUAAGUAACUGUGCACGUCUUGACGGUAACUAAUCAGAAAGCCACGGCUAACUACGUG
rnacentral:rRNA from 1 species